GACGAACGCUGGCGGCGUGCUUAACACAUGCAAGUCGAACGAGUGGCGAACGGGUGAGUAACCCGUGGGUGAUCUGCCUUGCACUUCGGGAUAAGCUUGGGAAACUGGGUCUAAUACCGGAUAGUGCAAGAUGAGCUCGCGGCCUAUCAGCUUGUUGGUGGGGUAAAGGCUACCAAGGCGCGAUCAGUAGCGGGUCUGAGAGGACGAUCCGCCACAAUGGGACUGAGACACGGCCCAGACUCCUACGGGAGGCAGCAGUGGGGAAUUUUGGACAAUGGGGGCAACCCUGAUCAAGCCAUGCCGCGUGUAUGAAGAAGGCCUUCGGGUUGUAAAGUACUUUUGUUAGGGAGACGGUACCUAAAGAAUAAGCACCGGCUAACUACGUGCCAGCAGCCGCGGUAAUUC
rnacentral:rRNA from 1 species